rnacentral:misc_RNA from 1 species
UGGCUCUCGCACCGAUGAAGAACGCAGCGAAAUGCGAUAAGUAAUGUGAAUUGCAGAAUUCAGUGAAUCAUCGAAUCUUUGAACGCACCUUGCACCUUUUGGUAUUCCGAAAGGUACACCCGUUUGAGUGUCAUUGUAAUCUCACUCCUCGACUUUGUCGUCUUGGAUGUGGACCUGGGCUCUGUCGUGUCACGACUGGCCUCAAAUGCCUGAGUGCACCCUGCUGUUGCGGCGUCUUCAGUGUGAUAAGCAUCUUCACUGGAACAAGCUCCCUUGUGGACACGCUCGCUUUGUGGGCUCUGUGCUUGCGAACCAUCCGCCGACGUGGACAAUUCUUUGACAAUUUGACCUCAAAUCGGGUGGGACUACCCGCUGA